GACGAACCGUGCGAACGUUAUUCGGAAUCACUGGGCUUAAAGCGCGUGUAGGCGGGAGGGCACGUCCGUCGCUGAAAUCCCCCGGCUCAACCGGGGAACGGGCGCGGAUACGACCUUCCUGGAGGGGCGUAGGGGACCUGGAACUUCCGGUGGAGCGGUGAAAUGCGUUGAGAUCGGAAGGAACGCCCGUGGCGAAAGCGAGGUCCUGGACGCCUACUGACGCUGAGACGCGAAAGCCAGGGGAGCGAACGGG
rnacentral:rRNA from 1 species